AAUGAACGUUGGCGGCGUGGAUUAGGCAUGCAAGUCGUGCGAGAAGUGUUUUUUGCUUGCAUUGAACACGGACAGCGGCGAAAGGGAGAGUAACGCGUGGUUACAUGCCUCAGAGACCAGGAUAGCGUUGGGAAACUGGCGGUAAUACUGGAUAACAUCUUCGGAUCAAAUGGUGUGAUUCCGCUCUGAGAUUGGACCGCGUACUAUUAGCUUGUUGGUGGGGUAACGGCCUACCAAGGCAGCGAUGGUUACCGGGUGUGAGAGCAUGGCCCGGCUCACUGGGACUGAGACACUGCCCAGACACCUACGGGUGGCUGCAGUCGAGAAUCUUCGGCAAUGGACGAAAGUCUGACCGAGCGACGCCGCGUGCGGGAUGAAGGCCCUCGGGUUGUAAACCGCUGUCAGUUUUGGAGGAAGGAUCUGUGCAGAGCAGAUUUUGACCGAUAUUCAGAGGAAGGACGGGCUAAGUUCGUGCC
rnacentral:rRNA from 1 species